CAAAAACAACUUACCUGUGAGCAGAGAGAGUAUUUGUUAACCCCUUUGAGCCUAAACAGUUGAAUCUCGGCUUGAAAUAAAGCGAGAUCUCAAAAAUCUUUUUUUUUUACAACCCGGAAAAUCUUGAUUAUUGUUCUUUUGCCGUAAAAAGUUAAGAGCAUUCACUUAGGGUGUGGAAGAAAUAAGUUGGGGAGAACGAAAAAGAAUUGGUAAGUACCACAACUCUUGAAAAAGAAAAGAAAAACCGAGCAAGCAUAGAAAAAUAUAUGUAUAGAAAAUAUAGAAAAGAAACAUCUGUUUUGUAUAUUUGAUGUGAAAGAAAAGAACAAAAAUAGAAAGAAUGAAAAUGAAUGCUUGCUUG
rnacentral:lncRNA from 1 species